rnacentral:misc_RNA from 1 species
CCAAUAGCGUAUAUUAAAGUUGUUGCAGUUAAAAAGCUCGUAGUUGAAUUUCGGGAUCAAUAUGUUGGUCGUGCCUUGGUACGUACUAAUUCAUUGGUUUCUUCCUUCUGACGAACCAUGAUGUCAUUAAUUUGGUGUCUUGGGGAAUCAGGACUGUUACUUUGAAAAAAUUAGAGUGUUUAAAGCAGGCUCACGCUUGAAUACAUUAGCAUGGAAUAAUGAAAUAGGAUGUUUGAUUCUAUUUUGUUGGUUUCUAGGAUCGACGUAAUGAUUAAUAGGGAUAGUUGGGGGGAUUAGUAUUCAAUUGUCAGAGGUGAAAUUCUUGGAUUUAUUGAAGACUAACUACUGCGAAAGCAUUUGCCAAGGAUGUUUUCAUUAAUCAAGAACGAAAGUUAGGGGAUCGAAGACGAUCAGAUACCGUCGUAGUCUUAACCAUAAACUAUGCCGACUAGGGAUCGGAUGAUGUUAAUUUUUUAAUGACUCAUUCGGCGCCUUACG